CAGCAGCCGCGGUAAUACGUAGGGCGCAAGCGUUAUCCGGAAUUAUUGGGCGUAAAGAGCUCGUAGGCGGUUUGUCGCGUCUGCUGUGAAAUCCCGAGGCUCAACCUCGGGUCUGCAGUGGGUACGGGCAGACUAGAGUGCGGUAGGGGAGAUUGGAAUUCCUGGUGUAGCGGUGGAAUGCGCAGAUAUCAGGAGGAACACCGAUGGCGAAGGCAGAUCUCUGGGCCGUAACUGACGCUGAGGAGCGAAAGGGUGGGGAGCAAACAGGCUUAGAUACCCUGGUAGUCCACCCCGUAAACGU
rnacentral:rRNA from 1 species